UACGAGGGGGGCUAGUGUUGUUCGGAAUCACUGGGCGUAAAGGGAGCGUAGGCGGGUGUCUAAGUUGGGUGUUUAAUUCCGGGGCCCAACCCCGAGCGUGCCGGGGAUACUGGAGGGCUGGAGACAGGUAGAGGCAAGCGGAAUUCCGGGUGUAGCGGUGGAAUGCGUAGAGAUCCGGAAGAACACCGGAGGCGAAGGCGGCUUGCUGGACCUGGUCUGACGCUGAGGCGCGAAAGCGUGGGGAGCGAACAGG
rnacentral:rRNA from 1 species